GUUCAAUUUCAUAGUGACAGUGUUAAAAAAGUUCUCUAUUGGGUUGAGAUCCGGACUUCGAGCAGGUAUUUUGAAAACCUUCGCACCUACUUUCUCUAUAGCACGCAUUGCUGCUCUUGAGUUUUGGCGUGGGCACCCGUCCAUUAGGAAAAGCUUUCCCUUUGGAUUCGCUGAGUUUCGAAAAGCUUUCUUGAAACAACGCUUCACAAUUGCAGCAAAUUUCUCACCCGUGAUUGUUCCCUCCCACUGUUCACAGAGAACAACGCCCUUCCCAUACGCGAUGGCUACCAUAAAAUUUACAUUGGUACAGCCUUCUUUUUUCCCCUUUGCCGUGCACCUAAAGUUCAACCCCUCUCCGCGUUUUCUCCAUUGUCGAGCACGGGGUGCUCGAGCUUGAUCAUGUGGGUUACUUUUGUAUUCGAAGCCCUUACCGUCCAAAUACAAUGAAAUGCCUUUGUUCCAGAAAUCUUGAUUUAACUUUUUACGUCGGACUUUCUGGCAAAACCUUUUUCUAGCUUUGAGAUCAGCGGCAUGCAGUAAGCCUUUUUUUCUUGAUCUUAGAUAAUGGUAACCCUCUUUAUUUAAUAUAUUUCUGAUAGUCCUGUUACUAACAUGCGUGACACCACUUUCCAACUGAACACGUUUUGAAGUAAAAUUUCCUAAUUUUUCUCUGAGUUUUGGUAUAGUACGAAGUAUACUCCUCUCAUCUCGGACAGUUAGUUUCUUUGGUCUGCCCUUGUUCGUUUUCCUUUUAUCAAAGACAGGCUCGCCAUUCAAUGGCUUCUUAGCAUGCUUAUAGAUUGCUGCCUUGGAAUACUGUGGAAACAUUUGCAACAGCCUCUUACCUCUAACGUUUGAAAGUUGGUGUGCAACUCUGAUUUGUGCAGAAUGCUCAUGGGAAAUUUUUUUCAUCAUCUUGAAAAAGGAUUAAAAAUAUUUUCGAAGAAGGCAUUGUGACAAUUAUUAACAAAGCUUCAUAUUCGUCAAAGAAGAAAAUAGAAGCAAAUGUUACGACACUACAGAGCAAGGUAUACAUCAGCAAUCACUAACUGACAUGCUUUAUACCAUCAUCUCAUUUUUCAUACUGCAUGGAUGUCUUGGAAGCUUUGCAUGUUAACAAGCAUCUGCACGGACACAAGAAACACGUGAAACUUCCUUGCUGAAAUUAGUUAAUUUCAACUAAACAGGCUGAUCAUGCCAAUACAUUUAUAUAUUCCAAUUUUUAUUUACACAGCCUGCUCAAACCAACUUAAUCUAACGCCACAUUUGCUUGAAAUCGGUCGCAAUAAUAGGGCAUUGCAUAAAUAUACUUUUAAUGCUUAGAUGUGCAUGUACAUACUUCAACCAUAGAC